CUCAGGUCAUAUUUUUAGCUGUCUGUAGAGUGAACACAGCAAAUGUUUUGUGUCAGUCUGUAGCAGAAGAGUCACAAUGUCUGGAAGGGUUUAGCCUUAAUAUUUAAGAAACUAAUUUGUUUAAGAUUGCUUUUAACCCAGCUGAAUAGGAACCAUUAUAGACUAUUUAUAAUAAUACAUUUCAAGCAUAGUUUCAGGGAGAGAAUAAUAGAUCUAACUUAUCAAAAUUAAAUUACAGAAUAUGAACAACAAAGGAGAAACGUUACACUAAGAAGCCAGCGACAGUCAGACAGCUCUGUACUGGGUAGCAAUGAUGAAGAUGAAGCGAUAGAUAAUGAUGUGGCAUGGCCAGAGGGUACCAUUAGGUGUCCGAUUUGCAUGGAUUUUUACUCAGAGAUUCUGCAAAGUGAACGACUGUUUCUGUCAACCCAGUGUGGCCAUGUCUUCUGCAGUCAGUGCCUCCCUGUUGCCCUUGAGACUGCCAACACAUGUCCAAUCUGCAGGACAGAACUCACUCAUGAACAGUAUCAUUCCAUUUAUAUAUGAGCACUUCUAUUUCUCAGGACAGACUCAGAUGGAUCUUGGGGGAUAGGCCAUGUAAAGACCUUUUCCUUCAUGUAUAUAGUUAUUCUUGUAUAUAGUUCCAUUUUUCCUGAAUUUAAUUAUAAAUAAAGUGUUGAUUAACCUAAAGUUAGUCA
rnacentral:lncRNA from 1 species